AGAAAUAGAGAGAGGAGUAUUCUUAUUGAUACUUUUGGGAUGAUUUACAAUAGGAGAAAACCCCUUUAUUUAUAGGGAGGUGGUGACUUAGCCACCAAGUAGUAAACCCUAGGAUCUCUCUAAAUAUGGACAUUCACCUUAAAUAGAAUAUUUUAUAACAUUCUCCUUUUUUUUUAGUUUUCCAACUGGUAUUCAGUAUCCGUAUGGGAGAUCGAUUAUAUCUGAAUUGGAGCCGCAUAAGGCCCAUUUUGGGGGAAGCGUUUAUUACCAAAGAUUUUUUCAUACCCAGAAUUCAAACCCAAGACCUCUGAUUAAAGAAAGAGCCGUCAUAUCCGCUGCAUCGCAUCGUGGUAAAUAGGUUUUCUCCUUCGUUCUCUUUAUAUUCCAGGUUUACCAUUAUUUACUGCUGGUACUUUCUCAGUUUAAUGGAACUAAUG
rnacentral:lncRNA from 1 species